GGCAGCAGUUUAAGCCUAAUGGGGCAACUCCGAGCAUCAACAAACAAAAACCGUGGGUUGUCGACAACGAUAGUGCAAAGAGAAGCGAAAUGAUCAGAGUUGUGUGACCCUGUCGGCACCGGGUCUACCUGUUUGCGAAGCACCCGUAGUUGCACAGGGCAUGGACAAACAACCGUGACAAAAUGGCGGCCAACCCUCCCAAGGUCACCUACCCGCCAGGUAUCAAAGCCAUCUCUGAUGACUUGAGCACAGAUGACCUCGUGCGACGGCUAAAGGAGUGCGCCCAAACAUUCCAGAACCUGAGUCAAGAUGAGGACAACAAUGCCUAUGUGCAGUUGGCCUUGCACCUGGCGGGUGAAGGCUUCUUGAACCACCACUCCAAGGAUGUGCGUCUGCUUGUAGCAUGCUGUAUUGCAGAUGUGUUUCGUGUGUUUGCACCCGAGGCCCCCUACAAGGAUCCUGAGCAGCUCAAGACCAUCUUUUUAUUCUUCAUAGAACAGCUGAGGGGCUUGGAAGAUCCCAAGGAUCCAACUUUUAAACGCUAUUUUUAUCUGCUGGAGAACUUGGCAUGGGUCAAGUCAUUCAACAUAUGCAUCGAGCUCGAAGAUAACCAAACCAUCUUCUGUCAACUGUUCUCACUCAUCUUCACCAUUGUUAACGACAACCACUCAAACAAGGUGAAAAACUUCAUGCUGGACAUGAUGUGUCCUCUGAUCACUGAGGCUGACACGGUCUCCCAAGGCCUACUCGACAUUGUGCUCAAGCAGAUCAUCGAGCCCUGCAAGACACAAAACAAGAAUGCCUACAACCUGGCGAAGGACGUGCUCAAGCGGACACUUAACACCAUCGAGCCGUACAUCCAGUCGUUCUUCAACAAUGCAUUGGUGCUGGGCCGGACGUCCAACAGCUCUGUGGCUCCUCAGCUGUAUGAGCUCAUCUACGAGCUCAACAUUCUCUGCCCCAGUAUGCUCAUUGCUGUCUUACCGCAGUUGGAGUUCAAGCUCAAGUGCAACGAUGAGAAGGAGCGGCUGAGCGUGACAAAGCUCCUCGCCCGCAUGUUCUCAGACAAAAACUCGGACCUGGCUUCGCACAACCCGCCUCUAUGGAACUGCUUUCUUGGCAGGUUCAAUGACAUUAGCGAGCAUGUGCGAAUGCGGUGCGUCCAGUAUUCGAUGCAUUUCCUGCUGAACCAUCCCAAGCUGCGGAACGACAUCACAGAGUCACUGCGGCAGCGGCAGCACGACCCUGCGGAGUCCGUGCGAUAUGAGGUGGUGAUGGCUAUCAUCAGCGCAGCAAAGAAGGACUUCGGCUCGGUCACUGAGGAGCUGCUCAAUUUUGUCAAGGAGCGCACACUGGACAAGAAGUUCAAGAUCCGCAAGGAGGCUUUAAUGGGGCUGGCCCACCUCUACAAGCAACACAUGAGUAGCCCCGACCUUCCAGCUUCCACGUUGGAGUGCAUCUCCUGGAUCAAGAACAAGGUGCUGCACGUGUACUACCAAACGGCCCUGGAAGAUCGGCUCCUGGUCGAGCGCAUCCUCCACACGUGCCUGGUGCCCUACCAGCUGCCCGUGGAGGAGCGCAUGCACAAGCUGUACCAGCUGUUUGCCACUGUGGACGACCACGCCGUAAAGGCGUUCAACGAACUGCUCAAGUGCCAGUGUGCAGUGCGGCAGCAGAUGCGAGCCGUCCUAGAGGCCCUCCUGCUUCCCGCUGGCGAGGAGCGCGAGCGGCAACUGCUGGCACGUGUAGCCCUGCUCUCGCGUAACUUGCCCGACUCGGUCAAGGCCCAGGAAUACCUCAUGAAGUUCUGCACCCUGCUGGAGGGCAACCAGCGCCUGCGUAUCCACAUGAACAAUGUGCUCCACGGUGGUGCCUCCUGUGUCGAAGCUGAGCGCAGUGUGAAAGAAGUCCUGAAGAGUCUGGGCUACCCCGUACAGACCAACAGCUUCUAUGUGAUCAUCAAGCAGUUGCUGGAGCGGGUGGCACCGGUAAUGGUGGACAGUGCUGGCGUCAAGCAGAUCCUGGCCUAUGUGCGCGACUCGCUCCUUGGCCAAGGCGACAUCGACAUCCAUAUGGGCGUCACCAACUCAGCACUGCGCGGCCUGCAGCUGCUUCAUGUGCUAGCAUCUGCAUUCCCUGCAGCCUUUGUUGGUGAAGAAGUGUACAGCCAGCUACUGUCCUUCCUAAGCGCAGACGACAGCGCAGCAUCUGAGAUGACAUUACAGAUCUUCACCUUCGUGGGCGCCGACAUUGACCAGCGCUUCCCACACGUUGCUCAGCGGCUGCUGCCUGUGGUGCAGAACUUCGUUGAAAACGGCACAGUGAAGCAAGCAAAGUAUGCCGUGGCUUGCCUCAACGUCAUUGUUGGAAACAAGGAGCGUGUCUUCGGGCAGGUCAUUGACCACCUGAAGCAACACUUCACGCUGGAGUCGGCGUACUUCCGCACGGCACUGGUGUCCAUCGGGCACAUAGCGUUGCUCUGCCCAGACAUGUUUGGCAGCCAGGUAAAGAGCAUCGUCUCCAAGGUGGUUGUCAAGGACCUGCUUAUGGCCGACCGGGAGGAGCCACGGAUCUCAGAAACAUCGUGGUGCGAAUUUGAAGCCCUUCCCGAGGAGACCAAGGUUAAGGUUGAAGGCAUGAAGAUGAUGGUGCGCUGGCUGGUGGGUCUGCGGACAGCUUCAGCUUCAGCCAGCUCCACACUUCGCCUCCUGGUCACAGUCAUCAGCCACGGGGGAGACCUGAUGGAGAAGGAGCAUGUUUCGGCAAUGGAACGUUCCUGGCUGCGGUACAUGGCAGCAGCAUGCAUGCUCAAGAUAUGCUGCUGUCCAGCAUAUGCAGAUGUGCUCAGCCACGAGCAGUUCCAGAAGCUUGCCCUUGUGCUUCAGGAUGAGUGUCCAGAGGUCCGUGAGCAGUUUGGCCUGAAGUUGCACAAGCACUUGCUGGCUAUGCGGCUGCCACUUCAGUUCCUGGCUAUCUUCGCACUGGGGGGUGUCGAGAAGCGGCGACCCCUGCGCAACCAGCUACGCCAGUGGCUCCUGUCAUGCAUCAACAAGCGACGAGAUUUCCUCAAGCAGCACACCAUCAAUUCCAUGAAGCUGAUCACCAUCCUGCCCGACUACGUGAUCCCCUAUGCCAUCCACCUGCUUGCCCAUGACCCUUGCCUGCCAAAGUAUGACGACGUUCCAGGGCUGGUGCAGAUCAAGGAGUGUCUCUGGUUUUUAAUGGAGCCACUAAUUACCAAGAAUGAAGGCUACAGCUUCAGUUUCUUCAAGAGGCUCAUCGAGAACAUCAAGCAGACCCGCGACAACCAGUGCCCCGACGACAAGCAGGCACAGCUGAAACUGUAUGCAGUGUGUGACCUGGCCCUUGGGCUGGUAAUGACCAAGACCACCAGCUUUGUGCUGAAGGACUUCCCGCAAGAGCCAGUGUUGCCGUCCAAGUGGUACACUUUGCCAGACAAGGUGCAAGUGCCGAAUGUGAAAAGCUACUUGCCCCCGGAGCUGGCUUUUUCAGCUCCAAAGAACACAGGUGUGGACCUGGCAGCGUUUGGACGGACACGUCCACGAGGAGCUCUGCGGCGAGUAUCGCGGAGGCCUCGUCCUGUGGCCAGCGGAAAUAUACAGCUGGUGCACGCAACCGAGGUAACAUCAGCUGAAGAGGAAGCAGUCGACGAGGUCAUGGCUGUUGAAGAGGAGGUUCCCCUCGGGAUGGAAGUCAGCAGUGCAGAGGAGAGCAGCAACAGCCCUUCAUCAGCAGCAGUUGUCAACCUCCGGGCCUUGCGGCCUACCCGCCGGGAUCGUGCAGCCUUGUCUGAGCAGCAGCAGUCAGAUCCCAGCCAAUCCAAACGGUCACGCUUGGAGCCUGGAGCAGACGACGAAGUUGAGAACUCAUCUGACCAGCUCAGUGCGCAGGCGGGGAAUGCAACGGAGGAAGAGGCGCAGAGGUCUGAGCCGCGGGGAACCACCGGACCAGUGGCCAACGGCAACGAGAACACCAGCCCCAACAACAGCCAGCAGCCCCCAGAGAAUAACAAUAUGGGAACAAGGAGUACACGUCUCAAGCAAUGAGCAGCUGAGGCACGUCAAUUGAUUUUGCACAGACAAGCCAAUUCAUCCCUUGGACGCUAAGUGAUGCAGAAGAAGCCACACAUUAAAAACACAUGGACACAGAAUGAAGCAGGAAUGGAAUAACUUUCUUAACUGGUGCUUACUUUUGGAUGCUGUCUAUUGUGCACCUAUCCCAGCAUUCCGUGCACUAAUGCAGCUCUUGAUUGGACUACAUAUCUGCUGAGGUAAAAGUGAAAGGCUGCUGCUGGUGCUUUUCAACCUUAGCAUACAGAAACUGGAGACAGCUCUAAAACCAGAGUUCAGAUUUUGACAUUUAUUGUUAUUACUGCCAAUAAAUUGAUUCACUUUCGCCCUAC